AUGGAGUUCCUCCAUCGACAUGGCCUCCAUCUCCUUAGCACCAUGAUCUGUUGGUUUAUGCUUGACAUGUCAUUUUACCUGCUCAACCUGUUCAUGAAGAACAUCUUUACCGAAGUUCAAUACAUCAAAGAUGCAAGCACAAUGAGCCCGCUUGAGCAAACAUACAAGAUAGCAAGAACCCAAGCUCUCAUUACCGUCAUUGGCACGUUGCCGGGCUUCUUCUUUGCAAUUAAGUUCAUGGACAGAAUUGGUCGAAUCAAGAUGCAAAUUGCAGGAUUCAUUAUGAUGAGUGUCUUCAUGCUCGGGCUUGCUAUUCCACAAGUGUUAUCGAAAACGAUAUGGGAUUCUCGCUAUGGGAACAUCUACUUCAUUGUCAUUUACUCGGCGAUAAUGUUCUUCACUGACUUCGGACCCAACACGACCACUUUCAUCCUUCCAGCAGAGAUCUUCCCAGCACGUAUGCGGUCAACAUGCCAGGGCAUAGCCGGUGCUGGCGGGAAGGGUGGUGCUAUCACUGGUGUGCUUUGGUUCCUAUAUACAAAUAAAGGUCUCCCAAUUAUUCUCUUCGUGCUAGUUGGUUGCAACAUAAUUGGCUUGGUGUUCACGCUCAUCUUACCAGAAACCAAAAAGAGGUCUCUUGAAGAGGUCACUGGUGAAAGAGGAAAUGAUGAGGACCAGGGAGGUUUUUCUCUUGUGAGAACACCUCUAUUUACUAUAUAG
rnacentral:rRNA from 1 species